rnacentral:rRNA from 1 species
AAAGACUUGACGGUACUUCACANNNACCUAGAGGAGCCUGUCUAACAACCGAUACCCCACGAUUAACCCAACCCACCCUAGCCCCCCAGUCUAUAUACCGCCGUCGCCAGCUUACCUUGUGAAAGAAACAAAGUAAACCCAACAGGUCACCCCUAACACGACAGGUCGAGGUGUAACAAAUGGGUGGGUAAAAGAUGGGCUACACUUUCUAAAACAGAAAAUACGAAUAAACUAUGAAACUAGAAACUGAAGGCGGAUUUAGUAGUAUGUUAAGAACAAAACGCUUAACUGAAACCAAUGCAAUGAGGUGCGUACACACCGCCCGUCAUCCCUG